rnacentral:rRNA from 1 species
UACGUAGGUGACAAGCGUUAAUCGGAAUUACUGGGCGUAAAGGGUGCGUAGGCGGUUGUUUAAGUCUGUCGUGAAAUCCCCGGGCUCAACCUGGGGAUGGCGAUGGAUACUGGGCAGCUAGAGUGUGUCAGAGGAUGGUGGAAUUCCCGGUGUAGCGGUGAAAUGCGUAGAGAUCGGGAGGAACAUCAGUGGCGAAGGCGGCCAUCUGGGACAACACUGACGCUGAAGCACGAAAGCGUGGGGAGCAAACAGG